rnacentral:rRNA from 1 species
CAGUAGCCACGGUAAUGCGGAGGGAGCUAGCGUUAUUCGGAAUUACUGGGCGUAAAGCGCACGUAGGCGGCUUUGUAAGUUAGAGGUGAAAGCCUGGAGCUCAACUCCAGAAUUGCCUUUAAGACUGCAUCGCUUGAAUCCAGGAGAGGUGAGUGGAAUUCCGAGUGUAGAGGUGAAAUUCGUAGAUAUUCGGAAGAACACCAGUGGCGAAGGCGGCUCACUGGACUGGUAUUGACGCUGAGGUGCGAAAGCGUGGGGAGCAAACAGGAUUAGAUACCCCAGUAGUCCCUGUCUCUUAUAC